UGCAACAUAAUCUUAAGCCUGAUCUUGAAUUUGUCCUCAUCAAACUCUUUUUCAUUAGAUAUCAAAGCGAGAACUUAAUUGUGGGUGAUGUCUACUUUGCCUUGGUUUCU